ACGAAGGUGGCAAGCGUUGUUCGGAUUUACUGGGCGUACAGGGAGCGUAGGCGGUUGGAUAAGCCCUCCGUGAAAUCUCCAGGCUUAACCUGGAACAGUCGGGGGGGACUGCCGGGCUAGAGGACGGGAGAGGAGCGCGGAAUUCCCGGUGUAGCGGUGAAAUGCGUAGAGAUCGGGAGGAAGGCCGGUGGCGAAGGCGGCGCUCUGGAACGGCCCUGACACUGAGGCUCGAAAGCGUGGGGAGCAAACAGGA
rnacentral:rRNA from 1 species